rnacentral:rRNA from 1 species
UACGUAGGUGGCGAGCGUUGUCCGGAUUUACUGGGCGUAAAGGGAGCGUAGGCGGACUUUUAAGUGAGGUGUGAAAUACUCGGGCUCAACUUGAGUGCUGCAUUUCAAACUGGAAGUCUAGAGUGCAGGAGAGGAGAAUGGAAUUCCUAGUGUAGCGGUGAAAUGCGUAGAGAAUAGGAAGAACACCAGUGGCGAAGGCGAUUCUCUGGACUGUAACUGACGCUGAGGCUCGAAAGCGUGGGGAGCAAACAGG